ensembl:snRNA U6 U6 spliceosomal RNA
GUGUUCACUUCAGCAGCACAUAUACAAAAAUUGGAACGAUAGAGAGAUUAGUAAGGCCCUUUGGCAAGAAUGACAUGCAAAGUCAUGAAACAUUCCAUUUUUUA